UACGAAGGGGGACUAGCGUUGUUCGGAAUCACUGGGCGUAAAGCGCACGUAGGCGGAUUUGUAAGUCAGGGGUGAAAUCCCGGGGGCUCAACCUCGGAACUGCCUUUGAUACUGCGAAUCUUGAGUCCGAUAGAGGUGGGUGGAAUUCCUAGUGUAGAGGUGAAAUUCGUAGAUAUUAGGAAGAACACCAGUGGCGGAAGGCG
rnacentral:rRNA from 1 species